AUAGCAGAUAUCGUCAAGGAUUAUAGUCGGCUUUACUACUCCAAAAACUGUAGGUUUACUACCUUUGUGCACUUUUGUUCCUUGUGGGCCCAUGAGUCAUUGUAAAGUAAAUUUCAUAUCACGGUUAUCUGUACUAUAGUACGUAUGAAUUUAUUUAGCUUUUACAUUACAAAAAUUAUUUACCGAUGACUCUAUAAAUAUUGUUUUACAAGAAAUUAGAAUAUUUUAUUGAAUAUUUUUAUUUUAUUUAAAUAGUUGCAAUAUCAUUUUUAAUAAAUGUUUUAGACACCUAAAUUUAUUUUAAAUCA
rnacentral:lncRNA from 1 species